GGCCGGAUAGCCCAGGGAAACCUGGAUUAAUACCGGAUGAGACGGGACCCGCGAAGGCGGGACCCGGAAAAGGCGCUGCGGCGCCGCCGGGGGAUGAGUCUGCGUCCCAUUAGCUAGACGGCGGGGUAACGGCCCACCGUGGCGACGAUGGGUAGCCGGCCUGAGAGGGUGGACGGCCACAUUGGAACUGAGACACGGUCCAGACUCCUACGGGAGGCAGCAGCUAAGAAUCUUCCGCAAUGGGCGAAAGCCUGACGGAGCGACGCCCGCGUGAACGAAGAAGGCCGUGAGGUUGUAAAGUUCUUUUCGGGAGGGGGAACAACCGUGGCAGGGAAUGGCCGCGGGAUGACGUGAAUCCCGGAAUAAGCCCCGGCUAACUACGUGCCAGCAGCCGC
rnacentral:rRNA from 1 species